UGAUAGAGGCGCGAAUGACAAGAGUAUGUUCUUCUACACUCAGGCAAGAGGAGAACGGAAAGGGGAAUUCGCCGAGGUUCUGCGUCUGUUGCCUGGCAGCGCAGCGCCGGGUUGUAGGAGAAUAUCCUGCAGACUGUCGCUUUCCGGAGAGGAAUGCGGAGCGCUGUUA
rnacentral:ncRNA from 1 species